UAGCGUAUAUUAAAGUUGUUGCGGUUAAAAAGCUCGUAGUUGGAUUUCUGUUGAGGGCGACCGGUCCGUACUAUGUGCGUGUAUCUGGCUUGGCCUCGGCAUCCUCUGACAAUACGGUUCUGCGCUUGAUUGCGUGGUCCGGAGUGUCAGACUUUUACUUUGAGGAAAUUAGAGUGUUCACGGCAGGCAAACGCCUUGAAUAUAUUAGCAUGGAAUAAUAAUAUAGGAUCUUGGUCCUAUUUUGUUGGUUUCUAGGGCUAAGAUAAUGAUUAAUAGGGACAAUUGGGGGCAUUCGUAUUAAUGCGUC
rnacentral:rRNA from 1 species